GGUUUCCUGUACGCUCAGAACAGCACCAAGCGCAGCAUUAAAGAGCGGCUCAUGAAGCUCUUGCCCUGCUCAGCUGCCAAAACGUCGUCUCCUGCUAUUCAAAGCAACGUGGAAGAUGAACUGGAGAUGGCCACCGUCAGGCAUCGGCCCGAGGCCCUUGAGCUUCUGGAAGCCCAGAGCAAAUUUACCAAGAAAGAGCUUCAGAUCCUUUACAGAGGAUUUAAGAACGUAAGAACUUUCUUUUUGACUUUACCUUCACACGGUUCCCAGAGGAGCAUUGAGAAAUGAGAAGUAAAAGGGGAAAAUAUCCCAUUCUGUGAGAGCCCCAUCAUAUGUGUAUUUCAUACUGAUCUUUCCUAGAUAGGAAUACAAUCAGUAUCUGUGGACUUUGAUUCUUUUUGGCACACCCAUGCUGGUAUACUGUAAUUGCCCAUUAAACAAAGAGUUUCUGAGAAA
rnacentral:sRNA from 1 species